GACGAACGCUGGCGGCGUGCUUAACACAUGCAAGUCGAACGGAAAGGCCCUGCUUGCAGGGUACUCGAGUGGCGAACGGGUGAGUAACACGUGGGUGAUCUGCCCUGCAAUUCGGGAUAAGGAUGGGAAACUGGGUCUAAUACAGGAUAGGAGCUAUUUUUAGUGUGAUGGUUGGAAAGUUUUUUCGGUGUAGGAUGAGCUCGCGGCCUAUCGGCUUGUUGGUGGGGUCAUGGCCUACCAAGGCGGCGACGGGUAGCCGGCCUGAGAGAGUGGACGGCCACAUUUGGACUGAGAUACGGCCCAGACUCCUACUGGAGGCAGCAGUGGGGAAUAUUGCACAAUGGGCGCAAGCCUGAUGCAGCGACGCCGCGUGGGGGAUGACGGCCUUCGGGUUGUAAACUCCUUUCGCUAGGGACGAAGCUUUUUGUGACGGUACCUAGAUAAAAAGCACCGGCUAACUACGUG
rnacentral:rRNA from 1 species